rnacentral:rRNA from 1 species
GACGAACGCUGGCGGCGUGCUUAACACAUGCAAGUCGAACGGAAAGGCCCUGCUUUUGUGGGGUGCUCGAGUGGCGAACGGGUGAGUAACACGCGAGUAACCUGCCCUUGACUUUGGGAUAACUUCAGGAAACUGGGGCUAAUACAGGCUAGGAGCUCCUGCUGCCUGGUGGGGGUUGGAAAGUUUCGGCGGUUGGGGAUGGACUCGCGGCUUAUCAGCUUGUUGGUGGGGUAGUGGCUUAUCAAGGCCGUGACGGGUAGCCGGCCUGAGAGGGUGACCGGCCACAUUGGGACUGAGAUACGGCCCAGACUCCUACGGGAGGCAGCAGUGGGGAAUAGUGCACAAUGGGCGGAAGCCUGAUGCAGCAACGCCGCGUGCGGGAUGACGGCCUUCGGGUUGUAAACCGCUUUCGCCUGUGACGAAGCGUGAGUGACGGUAAUGGGUAAAGAAGCACCGGCUAACUACGUG